CCCUGUGGCUCAGUUGGUAGAGCAUGGUGUGUGCAACGCCAGGGUUGUGGGUUCAAAUCCCACAGGGG
rnacentral:tRNA from 1 species